GGCACGCCUAAUACAUGCAAGUCGAACGAAGUAGCAAUACUUAGUGGCAGACGGGUGAGUAACAUGUGGGUAUCUUCCCUUUGGUGAAGAAUAACACGAGGAAACUUGUGCUAAUACUUCAUAAGUCUUUACGGAGAAAGCUUUAUGCGCCAAUGGAUGAGCCCGCACUUGAUUAGUUUGUUGGUAGGGUAAUGGCCUACCAAGACAGUGAUCAAUAGCUGAUUUGAGAGGAUGAUCAGCCACAUUGGGACUGAGACACGGCCCAAACUCCUACGGGAGGCAGCAGUAGGGAAUCUUGCACAAUGGAGGAAACUCUGAUGCAGCGAUGCCGCGUGAGUGAAGAAGGCCCUUGGGUUGUAAAGCUCUUUCGUCGGGGAAGAAAAUGACUGUACCCGAAUAAGAAGGUCCGGCUAACUUCGUGCCAGCAGCCGCGGUAAUACGAAGGGACCUAGCGUAGUUCGGAAUUACUGGGCUUAAAGAGUUCGUAGGUUGUUAAAAAAGUUGGUGGUGAAAUCCCAGAGCUUAACUCUGGAACUGCCAUCAAAACUUUUUAGCUAGAGUUUGAUAGAGGAAAACAGAAUUUCUAGUGUAGAGGUGAAAUUCGUAGAUAUUAGAAAGAAUACCAAUUGCGAAGGCAGUUUUCUGGAUCAUUACUGACACUGAGGAACGAAAGCAUGGGUAGCGAAGAGGAUUAGAUACCCUCGUAGUCCAUGCCGUAAACGAUGUGUGUUAGACGUUGGAAAUUUAUUUUCAGUGUCGCAGCGAAAGCAGUAAACACACCGCCUGGGGAGUACG
rnacentral:rRNA from 1 species